rnacentral:rRNA from 1 species
UACAGAGGGGGCAAGCGUUCUUCGGAAUUAUUGGGCGUAAAGGGCGCGUAGGCGGCCUGGCAAGUGGAUGGUGAAAUCCCUCGGCUUAACCGAGGAACUGCCAUCCAGACUGCUUGGCUUGAGACCGGAAGAGGAGAGUGGAAUUCCCGGUGUAGCGGUGAAAUGCGCAGAUAUCGGGAAGAACACCCGUGGCGAAGGCGGCUCUCUGGGACGGUACUGACGCUGAGACGCGAAAGCGUGGGGAGCGAACAGG